rnacentral:rRNA from 1 species
UACGUAGGGCGCAAGCGUUGUCCGGAAUUAUUGGGCGUAAAGAGCUCGUAGGCGGCCUGUCGCGUCUGCUGUGAAAUCCCGGGGCUUAACCCCGGGCGUGCAGUGGAUACGGGCUGGCUGGAGGCAGGCAGGGGAGAACGGAAUUCCCGGUGUAGCGGUGAAAUGCGCAGAUAUCAGGAAGAACACCCGUGGCUAAGGCGGCUCUCUAGUACGGUACUGACGCUGAGACACGAAAGCGUGGGGAGCGAACAGG